rnacentral:rRNA from 1 species
CAGGUAGGUGGUCUCAUUUGUCUGGGGUGAAAUCCCUGAGCUUAACUCAGGAACUGCCCCAGAAACGGUGAGACUGGAGUACUGGAGAGGGUCGUGGAAUUCCCGGUGUAGCGGUGAAAUGCGUAGAGAUCGGGAGGAACACCAGAGGCGAAGGCGGCGACCUGGACAGUGACUGACACUCGACUGCGAAAGCGUGGGGAGCAAACAGGAUUAGAUACCCUGGUAGUCCACGCUGUAAACGAUGGAUACUAGAUUUGAUGGGACUUGACCCCUGUCGAAUCGGAGCUAACGCACUAAGUAUCCCGCCUGGGAAGUACGGUCGCAAGACUAAA